CAGAUGCUUCCUCCUGGCCAAAUCCCAAAUCCCACCCUCAGCACCCACACCCUGAGCAGUGGGCAGGAGAGGCCUGAAAGCGUCUGUAUAAAUGGCUUCUGAGAAGCCCUGGUGAUAAAGGAGCUAGAGGCAGCCACACAUGGUUCCCAGAAGCUGAAUGCUGCGCAGACGACAGGAAUGACUUCACCCAUCCUGCUUCCACCCGCCAUAGCAGUGACCAAAGCAGCUCUGGGAGCACAGCUGAGCACCUCAGAAGAUAAGUCCCGGGGUGAUUCUUGUCAUCUCCAUGAAAAGGAGAGGACAAAAAGGCAGAGGCUGCUGCUUGAGGAUCCCUUCACCUGGGCUGCAUAGCUUCACCCAUGCUGACCAACUUCCCCGUUUCAAGUUUCAGACUCGCAGCCGCGCUAGUUAGGGUACAACUUGUUCAGACAGCUGUUUUCAUUCACAUCUCCAAAGGUCCUCUACCUUGGAAGAAGAAAGAAAGAGGGAAAGAGAAAUAAAAGAGAUUAA